rnacentral:rRNA from 1 species
GACAGAGGGUGCAAACGUUGUUCGGAAUCACUGGGCGUAAAGCGCUCGUAGGCGGACUCUUAAGUCGGUGGUGAAAUCCUGGAGCUCAACUCCAGAACUGCCUUCGAUACUGGGAGUCUCGAGUUCGGGAGAGGUGAGUGGAACUGCGAGUGUAGAGGUGAAAUUCGUAGAUAUUCGCAAGAACACCAGUGGCGAAGGCGGCUCACUGGCCCGAUACUGACGCUGAGGCGCGAAAGCUAGGGGAGCAAACGGG